GCAUCUAAGCACGAAACUUGCCCCGAGAUGAGUUCUCCCUGACCCUUUAAGGGUCCUGAAGGAACGUUGAAGACGACGACGUUGAUAGGCCGGGUGUGUAAGCGCAGCGAUGCGUUGAGCUAACCGGUACUAAUGAACCGUGAGGCUUAACCUUACAACGCCGAAG
rnacentral:rRNA from 1 species